rnacentral:lncRNA from 1 species
AUGUGCCUCACCCUCCACAAACAGUUCCAGCUGGAGGUGGGCAUCUGCUGCAUUGGAGGGCUCUUGACAUCUACUCCUUUAAACGGGAACCAGCAAAUUGAGAUCAAAGUGCCCCUCAUUGGUCCUCGCGGUACAAAGCAAAUGCCUGAGAGGAAGGCAGCUGGCCUCUUCACGCCUGCUUGUCUCUGCCUGAGUUUUGAAGUUCUUCCAGGGCCUUUUUGUAGCAGACAUUCAUCCCCUUGGCUGAAAAGGAGCACGGCUCCACGGGAGCCAUGUGGGCUCAGGGCCAGGGAGGCUGAGGAGCAUACAAGAUGGAGACAGAGCUCAGUCCCACGGCAACCCACCAGGAUGAACCUGCUCCAAGCUGGCCUGUCCUACAGAGCCCACUUCCUCACCAUUGCCUUGAAUUAUUCAUCAGCUCUUGCAGAGAAACAAAAGGCAAAGCCAUUUCAUCUCCUCCAGAACUGACUGUCCUCCUCUUUGACCUCAGGGAGUCUUAAAAUUCAAGACGCGCAUCCAAAACUCCCAUGCACUUUCGGAAGAGACAGGAAAAUGCCCCGUCAUCUUCCCCUUCCAGACUCGCUGAGCCCUGCUGAGCAAGUGUCUCUGGCUACUUGGUCCCUCAGCCUGUGCUUUGUCCUUCUUCUCACUGAUCAUGAGAAGGACGGGCAGGGAUCCUUGGCCUCCUAUUGAAUGACCUGGACAUCUUAAUAGGUGCCAGGGGUCGGGACAAACGCUCUACCUAGACCCUAGGGCCAUCUAUGCU